UACGUAGGGUGCGAGCGUUAAUCGGAAUUACUGGGCGUAAAGCGUGCGCAGGCGGUUCGUUAAGUCAGAUGUGAAAGCCCCGGGCUCAACCUGGGAACUGCAUUUGAAACUGGCGGGCUUGAGUGCGGCAGAGGGGGGUGGAAUUCCGCGUGUAGCAGUGAAAUGCGCAGAUAUCAGGAGGAACACCGGUGGCGAAGGCGGGUCUCUGGGCCGAUACUGACGCUGAGGAGCGAAAGCGUGGGGAGCGAACAGG
rnacentral:rRNA from 1 species